AGUGAACGCUGGCGGUAGGCCUAACACAUGCAAGUCGAACGGCAGCACAGUAAGAGCUUGCUCUUACGGGUGGCGAGUGGCGGACGGGUGAGGAAUACAUCGGAAUCUACCUUUUCGUGGGGGAUAACGUAGGGAAACUUACGCUAAUACCGCAUACGACCUACGGGUGAAAGCAGGGGAUCUUCGGACCUUGCGCGAUUGAAUGAGCCGAUGUCGGAUUAGCUAGUUGGCGGGGUAAAGGCCCACCAAGGCGACGAUCCGUAGCUGGUCUGAGAGGAUGAUCAGCCACACUGGACUGAGACACGGUCCAGACUCCUACGGGAGGCAGCAGUGGGGAAUAUUGGACAAUGGGCGCAAGCCUGAUCCAGCCAUACCGCGUGGGUGAAGAAGGCCUUCGGGUUGUAAAGCCCUUUUGUUGGGAAAGAAAAGCAGCAGGUUAAUACCCCGCUGUUCUGACGGUACCCAAAGAAUAAGCACCGGCUAACUUCGUG
rnacentral:rRNA from 1 species